rnacentral:rRNA from 1 species
CUACGGGGGGCAGCAGUGAGGAAUAUUGCACAAUGGAGGAAACUCUGAUGCAGCAACGCCGCGUGGAGGAUGACGCAUUUCGGUGUGUAAACUCCUUUUAUAUGUCAAGAAAAUGACGGUAGCAUAUGAAUAAGCGCCGGCUAACUCCGUGCCAGCAGCCGCGGUAAUACGGAGGGCGCAAGCGUUACUCGGAAUCACUGGGCGUAAAGGACGCGUAGGCGGGAUAUCAAGUCAGGUGUGAAAUCCUACAGCUUAACUGUAGAACUGCACUUGAAACUGGUAACCUAGAGUAUGGGAGGGGGAGAUGGAAUUAGUGGUGUAGGGGUAAAAUCCGUGGAUAUCACUAGGAAUACCUAAAGCGAAGGCGAUCUCCUGGAACAUAACUGACGCUAAGGCGUGAAAGCGUGGGGAGCAAACAGGAUUAGAUACCCCGGUAGUC